CCAUGCAUCUUCAUCAAACAACUUCCGGAAUUCUUCCAACUUUAACUCAGGAUUUUGGACUGCACUGCUGACUUGCGCAGGCAUCUGAAAGACCAUCUCUUCAGUUACAAUGCGCUUCGAAAGAAGUAUGUCUUCGGCUUUUUCCCGUCCGAUAAACCAAGUCAGGAAUACUGCAAUCAAAGAAAAAUAAUUAUUGCGUGUUGGUGAGUAAAAGGAAUCAAUGAUUUUACUUAGUUUUUGAUCUGCCUUUUUUUUUUCGAAUGGCUUAGGGGCAUUUUUAUGAUGAUCCAGCCGUCUGGUUCCUCUCGGUCGCCCAGCUCGAGUUUUGGUGUUGGGGAGCAUAAGCAUCAUCAAAUCGUCUUCUACUCUUGGUCUUUUUGGCUCCCGGUUCUCAUCAGAACUACUUUGCUGGUCAUCUGCAGCUUCUGAUGGAGGUUCUAUUGGGCCAUAAGAGUGGUCCAAGUAGAUUGAUGUCAUUCGGGCGUCUGUAUCUGCCGUAGCUCGAACAACUGGAUCUGCCGGAGCUUGAACGACUGGAUCUGCCGGAGCUCGAACGACUGGAUCUGCCGGAGCUUGAACGACUGGAUCUCUUUGAGUUUGAACGAUUGGAUCUGCCAGAGUUUUAAAUUAAGUAAAAUUUAAAUAUUUAACUGUCAAAAAGAUCUCAUACCCCCAAUUAUUAGAUGCAUAGGCUCAUUCCGUCGGAUGCAUAACUUGACCUGUUCCAGUACUUGGAGGUAUCCCUCGAAGGCAGGCAAGGGUAUAUUUUGAAGUUCAUUAGCCAAGGUUUUGGCUAAUUGAAGGGCUCUGCUGUACAUGUCUUCUCGAGUGACCCGAUCUCGAUUUCUUCGUUGUUGAAUUACGACCGGUGACCAAGCUUCCGGGUGUUCGUCUUGUGAAUCCUCGUCCUAAACAUAAACAGAAACGAAGUUAUUAAAGGUAAUAAGAUAAUUAACUUUGUUUGAUUUCAUUUUACCUCGUCAUCGCUCAUGCGCCAUCUCCUAUUGAAAUCUUCUACUGGCAGUAAAAUCUCCGCUCUAUCAGAUAGGAAUAAGAGGUGUCGACACGGAAGUCCAAAAUUAUUGAAGAAAGUACAGGAGCAACUAGUCAAAUCCAAAUUAGCAGUGUAACGGCCAGUGUUGGUUGCUGUGAUUAAUUGGUUCCCAUCCUGGCAAGAUGUAGUUGUCGCCUUGAAUUGUUCAAUUACCCGAUCCACCGCAUAAGGCGUAUAGAUUUUACGUAACUGCUCCAGGAUAGGAUGCAACUUCUGAACCGGAAAUCGAAUUUUCAACUCAUUUCCUUUCUUUUUUCGAUCAAACUCUCUCAUUUGGCUAAUGUCAAGCAAUACUUGUAUCAGCUCGGGAAAUCUUACUUGCCGAUUACGGACGUGAAUACCGUUCGAUUCUGUUCGUCGUGUGAUUGUCCAUCAUGAAUAGAGUUCUUCUAUAAAAAACGGCCCAAUAUUCUGUAAUAUUAAACCAAUUGGUUUCGAAAUAAUGCCCAAGUCCGUCGUACGUGCCGUCGUCGUCAACUUCAUCUAAAAAAUUCCUUUU
rnacentral:lncRNA from 1 species